rnacentral:rRNA from 1 species
GGACUACCCGGGUUUCUAAUCCUGUUCGCUCCCCACGCUUUCGCUCCUCAGCGUCAGUAAUGGCCCAGAGACCCGCCUUCGCCACCGGUGUUCCUCCUGAUAUCUGCGCAUUCCACCGCUACACCAGGAAUUCCAGUCUCCCCUGCCAUACUCCAGCCUGCCCGUACCGGAAGCAGACCCACCGUUAAGCAGUGGGCUUUCACUUCCGACGCGACAGGCCGCCUACGAGCCCUUUACGCCCAAUAAAUCCGGACAACGCUCGCACCCUACGUAUUACCGCGGCUGCUGGCAC